rnacentral:tRNA from 1 species
CGCGGGGUGGAGCAAUUGGUAGCUCGUCGGCUUCAUACGCCGAAGGUUGAAGGUUCAAAUCCUUCCCCCGUUA